UUGAAAUAUUACAAACUUAUAACUUAAGCUAUUGAAAUAUCACAAACAUAAAACUUAAGAUAUUGAAAUAUUACAAACAUACAUGUAUAACUUAAAAUAUUAUCACCCACCAAAAUUUUGAUUCUAUACUGUGUGUGCCAUUUCCUAAGAAGUAGUAUUAUACGAUGUCGGCGAUAUAUCUUAAGAUGUAAUAGUAUGUGUUAUGCUUGUAUUUUCUGUUUUCUUCUAUAAGCACAUAAUGCAGGAAGAAGGUCAAGAUGUGAAGCCCAGGGAUCCUUCUAAUGAUUAAACAUGUUAAUGAAUCAUUUAAACUGUUAUACUUUUCUUUCAUUCAUCAGCUUUUAUAUAUCUUAUAUUAAUUCAAAAGUUACGACUUGAUUACAUCCUGUUUGCUCGUAUGAUGUCAAAGUUCAUUCUGUUUCACAUAAACUCAUACAUGGAUACAACUAUGAACUUACAUUAAUGUGAAACUUCAAGAAACCUCAUAAAAAAGGUUUAUACAAUGUAUUCAGGAACAUCAUACAACAGCUUCAAUGUAUUCAGAAACAUCAUACCACAAGUUUAUACAAUGUAUUCAGGAACAUCAUACAACAGCUUUAUACAAUGUAUUCAGAAACAUCAUACAACAGGUUGAUAUACAAUGUAUUCAGAAACAUCAUACCACAGGUUUAUACAAUGUAUUCAGAAACAUCAUACCACAGGUUUAUACAAUGUAUUCAGAAACAUCAUACCACAAGUUUAUACACUGUAUUCAGAAACAUCAUACCACAAGUUUAUACACUGUAUUCAGGAACAUCAUACCACAGGUUUAUACAAUGUAUUCAGAAACAUCAUACCACAGGUUUAUACAAUGUAUUCAGUAACAUACCACAGAUUUAUACAAUGUAUUCAGGAACAUACCACAGAUUUAUACAAUGUAUUCAGGAACAUCAUACCACAGGUUUAUACAAUGUAUUCAGGAACACGUGCUACAGUGUACUUUGGUUUUAUGGUUUUAAAUUGUUUAACGUCCUAUUAACCGCCAGGGUCUUUUAAGGACGUGCCAGAUUUUGGAGGUGGAGGAAAGCCGGAGCACCCGGAGAAAAACCACCGGCCUACGGUCAGUACCUGGCAACUGCCCCACGUAGGUUUUGAACUCGCAACCCAGAGGUGGAGGGCUAGUCAUAAAGUGUCAGGACACUUCAAUAUGUGUCGAAUAUGUUUUUCGAUGAAUCCCAGACAUAGGAAAACUUAUUUGAAGAUUUAGAUAUUCAUUUUUAAGGAUAUUAUUUACCAAGUAAUGUUGACCUUCCAAUUAUUUUCAAAUUAUGUUAUUUGUUGAUUUCCAAUAUGCUAUUUUGUAGAAAGAUUAACAACUAAGCAUGAAUUAAAAUUUAAGUGGUGGCAACACUACAUAACAUCUGUUUCAGAAAACUUAUAAAUGUCAUGUUGUUGGGACAUAUGUUAAGAUUAAAACAGAUAUAAUUAUCCUUGUGGAUUAUUGUCAUGAGCUUGUGAUGAAUGUGAUUUACGGUGUUUAACUUCUGUAAUUUAGCAUUCAAUUCAUUCAAUUCAUUCAAUUCAUUGAUGUGAUUGUGUGUUUAUACAAAUUACAUUUUAUAUGACUAUAAAUGACAUUCAACAUGUCAUAUUCAUAACUUUUAGAUUAUUCAACGUUAUACUGAAGCCGGUAACCGUGCCUGACUCCAAAGUUAUAGAUAAUAACAUGCCUUGUUUCGGAUGGGGGAGAGAUAACCUAUCCUUGGGUUGGAUUUACCCAUGGUUAGGUUAUCUCUGUGGCGUUUUGCAUACCCCCAUCUUAGACUUGAUGUUUAUAACCUACGGUUUAUCAAAAAACGUUAGAUAUGUAACAAUGUAUGUAAAAUGUAUAUGUACAUUGAUAUCCUUACGUCGUUAAUAAAACGGGCAUAUUUCAAUUUAA